rnacentral:rRNA from 1 species
GACGAACGCUGGCGGCGUGCUUAACACAUGCAAGUCGAACGGUAAGGCCCUUCGGGGUACACGAGUGGCGAACGGGCGAGUAACACGUGGGUGAUCUGCCCUGCACUUCGGGAUAAGCCUGGGAAACUGGGUCUAAUACCGGAUAGGACCACUGCCUGCAUGGGUGGUGGUGGAAAGCUUUUGCGGUGUGGGAUGGGCCCGCGGCCUAUCAGCUUGUUGGUGGGGUGAUGGCCUACCAAGGCGACGACGGGUAGCCGGCCUGAGAGGGUGACCGGCCACACUGGGACUGAGAUACGGCCCAGACUCCUACGGGAGGCAGCAGUGGGGAAUAUUGCACAAUGGGCGCAAGCCUGAUGCAGCGACGCCGCGUGAGGGAUGACGGCCUUCGGGUUGUAAACCUCUUUCAGUACCGACGAAGCGAGAGUGACGGUAGGUACAGAAGAAGGACCGGCCAACUACGUGCCAGCCGCCGCAGUAA